UUGGAGGAAUGUAUGGCGAAAGCUGUUUGCAUCUAAAAAGGUGCAAGAUCGAUUUUAUCGAAUAAAGUUCUAGAUAGGUUAUGAUGAUGACAUUUCCUGUCUAUGUGUCUUGACUAAAUUACGUGCCAGCAGUCGCGGUAAUACGUAGAAGACUAGUGUUAUUCAUCUUUAAUAGGUUUAAAGGGUACCUAGACGGUAAAUCAAGUCCAGAAAGGAUACUAAUUUGCUAGAGUUUAAUGUGAGGGGGCACUAAAGUACUGAUAAGUGUAGAGAUGAAAUUCUGUGAUACAAUAUAAGGACAGGUAAAGGCGAAAGCAUCUCAUUAUGUAAUAACUGACGUUGAGGGACGAAGGCUAGGAGAAGCAAAAAGGAUUAGAUACCCAAGUAGUCUUAGCAGAAAAUUAUGAAUGUCAUAGGAUGGAAAUAGUGGAUAACAAUUUUUUUUUCUAUAAAUGAAAGUGUAAGCAUUCCACCUCGAGAGUAAUUUGGCAACAUUGGAACUGAAAUCAUUAGACCGUUUCUGAAACAAGUAGUGAAGUAUGUUGUUUAAUUUGAUGGUCCGCAAAAAACCUUACCACAAUUUGGAUAGAAAUUUUUAUUUUAUACAAGCGCUGCACGGUUGUCUCCAGUUAAUGUCGUGAGAUCUUGGUUAGUUCCAUUAAAUUAACGUAAACCCUUACUUUAUUUAUAUAUAGAGUAGUUCACCGCUAGAUUGGAUGUGAUAACAGAAUAUUGUGGGCUAUAGACGUGCCACAUAAA
rnacentral:rRNA from 1 species